CACAAGUUUGCUGCUGCCUUAUACACAGUAGUCAGGAGUUACAGAGCAGUUACGCUGGGCCACUUCCACCAAGGAAGGGACGGAGUCUUUUCUUACUGGAACUCCUACUCAGGUUAUAGAUAUACCUUUCCUGCCCACAAUACUUUGGCCAAAACUCCCAUCCCUGCACUUACAGAGUGCCUUAUCCACCACCAAGGUAUUCCACAUAGCAUCAGCUCUGACCAGCAACUCUUUUCACUGCAAAUGAAGAGAGACAGUUGGCUCAUAUUCAUGGAAUUCCUUGGUCUUAGCAUGUUCCCCAUUAUCUGAGGGGGAACUGGCUUGAUAGAAUCAUGGAAUGGCUACCUCACAAUGUGAGUAAGGAGGAAGAGAGCUGGAAAGCCAAAGACCCCGGGCGCCUCUUAGAACUACAACGUCCUGUGACGUCUCCAUGAGCCUUCCCUUUGCAGUCCCCUUUGGCGGUUGGAAGCGCUUGGGUUUCAGAUUGACUGAUGGGUAACUUAUCUGCGAUCUUCCAGCUUCCCUCCUGGACUUUUACUUCUCCAAAUAUCAACUCUGUGUCUUCUCCAUAGGAAAAACCAUGGUUUUAUGACUGCUGGAAAAACCAGUAGUCAUGUACUCAUGUGAGAGUUGGACCAUAAAGAAGUCUGAGUGCUGAAGAAUUGAUGGUUUUGAACUGUGGUGUUAAAGAACACUCUUGAGAAUCCCUUGGACUGCAAAGAAAUCAAACCAGUCAAUUGGUUUGAUUUCCUAAAGGAAAUCAAUUCUGAAUAUUCACUGGAAGGAUUGAUGCUAAGGUUGAAGCUCCAAUACUUUGGCCACCUGAUGCGAAGAACUGACUCAUUGGAAAAGACCCUGUUGCUGGAAAGAUUGAAGGCAGGAGGAGAAGGGGAUGACAGAGGGUGAGAUGGUUGGAUGGCAUCACUGACUUGAUGGGCAUGAAUUUGAGCAAACUCCAGGAGACAGUGAAGAACAGGGAAGCCUGUCAUGCUGCAGUCCAUGGGGGUCACCAAGAGUCAGACAGGACUGAGUGACUGAACAACAACUGUGUCUUCUGGCAUUGAAUGUUGCUAUAAGGGGAGUCUGAGACCAGCUUGAUUUUUUCCCCCCUCCUUUGAAAGUGAUGUUUUUAUUUUUUUCUUCUACCAGAAUGUCUGAAUAAUUUUUUGUUUUUGGCUGUACCACACCGCUUGGGGGACCUUAGUUCCCUGAUCAGGGAUCAAACACAGGCCCCAGGCUGUGAGAGUGUGGUGGUCUACCAGGACCACCAGGGAAUUACUUGAACAAUUUAUUCCCUUUAAAUCUGAUGUUCAAAAUCUUAAAUAGGACAUGUUAAUUUUGAUUUUACUAAAACAAGUUUUCC
ensembl:lncRNA